rnacentral:rRNA from 1 species
UACGGGGGGAGCAAGCGUUGUUCGGAUUUACUGGGCGUAAAGGGCGCGUAGGCGGCCACCGCAAGUCGACUGUGAAAUCUCCGGGCUUAACUCGGAAAGGUCAGCCGAUACUGCGGGGCUAGAGUGCAGAAGGGGCAACUGGAAUUCUCGGUGUAGCGGUGAAAUGCGUAGAUAUCUGGAGGAACACCGGUGGCGAAGGCGGCAUCCUGGACCGAUACUGACGCUGAGGAGCGAAAGCCAGGGGAGCAAACGGG